CAAUAUUGUAUUGUUCAUCUAUUCGUGUGACACGUGUCUUCCACCAUAGCUUUUACGCAAAUCCCACGUUUACUAAACUUACCCAUUUCUUCUCCCUGAUUAUCUUCAAACCGUAAAUACAAUUCUUCUAUUCGAUUCAAUCCUAUAUAUCCUAAGUCGGGUUUUGAUUCUACGUUCUAUAAAACCCUAAAACUGUUCUAUGCGAUUGAAGAUUUGUAUUGUUUAAUAGCAAUUGAAGAUGCCAGCAACUUUCAUUUUCAAUGAGUUUUACAAUCUCAAAUUGCGACCCAUCAUUUGAAGGUACGUAUUCAUUGUUAUACCCUAAAUCGGCCUUUGAUUUUAAGUUAUAUUAAACCCUAGACUGGACAAUGAGUUUUACAAUCUCAAAUUGCGACCCAUCAAUUGAAGGUACGCAUUCAUUGUUAUACCCUAAAUCGGCCUUUGAUUUUAAGUUAUAUUAAACCCUAGACUGGACAACAUUUCUUUUUGUUUUUUUUGCUUUUUUUCUUUAAACUUCAAGUGUUGUUCCCGGUAUUUUUGAUUCCUUGAUUCGGUAUAAUUAUGUGUGUUCAUAUUAUUCUCGUAAAAGUAUUGAAAGCUUAUAGUGCACACCAAGUGUUUGUAUACAUGCAUGACUGAAUUUUGUAGGGAAAAAGAGUGGUGAAAACCGUGAAAUGGAGAAAUUAAAGGAUUUUGAAGAAGGGUUUGAGUCUUCUACAGUUUCUUCAUUGGAUCAAGGAGCAGUUGAUGAUAAUCAUGAUCAUGAACAUGAUCAAUCACCCACAAUAAAUUUGACACUCAGUGGUCGUUCGUUUGCGUACUAUAGAACUAACUCAGAGACUUCAGCUUUCUCUGAGCAGUUAACGGAUGAUCUUAACAGCUGUUCGUCGGAGACGCAGUCUCCGGUAUGCUGGCCGGCUUCCGGGAGAUCUUCUUACUAGCCCGUCCUGUCAAGAUUUGGAGUAAAGAAACCGACUCACACGUGUGAAACCGAAGAAGAUAAGCUUGAGAGUCAUGAACCUAUGGAUUUGGGGGAAUUUGUAUUGCAUUAGAAUAGAAUUAGUUUAUCUGCAGUUUUUGGUUACAAAAUCAUUACAUAAUCAUCACAAAAUCAUGUUAGUUCUGAGUUAUGACCCAUUAACAGGAAAUAAAUGCUUUGACUUUUCAGAUGAUAUGAAUUUUGCUUGAAUUUCAAAAUUAGUUUCUUUUCAAUUCACUUUGCAUUAUAUGUUGCGAAAUUUAAUGUAAUUAUUAGUUUACUUUCUAUAGCAACUUGAAAUGAGAAUAAAAUCCAUUUUUUAAGGUUUUGUUCUUGAUAUAUUUUUGAAACAGAGCUCAAAAUGAUGAAAGAAAGAUUCGCAAAACUUUUAUUGGGAGAAGACAUGUUUGGCAGCGGCAAAGGAGUUUCUACCGCGGUUACUGUUUCUAAUGCAAUCAAAAAUCUUUACGGUUCGUCGCAACACGCAUAUCCUAGGUCGAGUCAGUGUUGGUGGUCGAUGACGGUUGUGUGACAUUAGUACUAUUUGACACCGUUUUACGCACCGCCGCAACGCGAGGAAGUAUACACUAUGAGGCUGUGUUGUGGAUUAGGCUUGGGGCAUGAAAGGAGUGCCACAUCAACGACAAGGGGUGGAGGUGGUAGAAGAUUUUUUUAUUCAAAUUAUUGAAUACCACAUUUAUAUUUUUUGAAUUUGCUACAUUCAACAAUUAUAGUUUCAAUAAUAUGUACUACAUAUUUCUGUCAUUAGAAGUAUAUACAGAUUUAUGAACUA